rnacentral:rRNA from 1 species
UACGUAGGGUGCGAGCGUUGUCCGGAAUUAUUGGGCGUAAAGGGCUCGUAGGCGGUCUGUUGCGUCAGGAGUGAAAACUCGGGGCUUAACCCCGAGCCUGCUUCUGAUACGGGCAGACUAGAGGUAUGCAGGGAAGAACGGAAUUCCUGGUGUAGCGGUGAAGUGCGCAGAUAUCAGGAGGAACACCGGUGGCGAAGGCGGUUCUCUGGGCAUUACCUGACGCUGAGGAGCGAAAGUGUGGGGAGCGAACAGG